rnacentral:lncRNA from 1 species
CUCCUAGAUUCUUAAGAGAACGAUGUGCUCUCUUUAUUGCAGUCUUGCAUAGUGUUACAGGGUUUUUUGAUUUUUUUUUUUUUAAUUAGAGUAGUUUGUGCUUAAAUUGCGUUUUGUUUUUUUUUUUUAAAUUGGCGAGUGAUAAGCUGGCUGAAGUAUCUGUCUGGAAGUAAGAAUAGCAAAAGUCAGAACUCAGACUCUAGAGUAGACUACUUUAUCCUUGAUCAGUGACAUGCAGUCCAGCUUCCCCUGCAGAAUUUCUCAGUUGGAGAGGGAUUUUACUAUGAAAAGAUAAUUUGAUAGAAGACUUAAGGUCUCAUCUAAAAGAAAAUCAAGAAAAUGAGAAAACCUCAAAUGAAACAUAGGAAAGACUUGAGAGAAAGGUGAAGGCACUGGCUGAAGACGAAAAGCUUCCAUUGACUCAAUGAAACAAAGAUUUAAUGUAGCUAUGAAAGAGAAGUCUCAGUAUGAGAAGAUGCCAAAGACGAUUUGGAGAAAUAGACUCUAACCAGAGAGUUACACCACAGCGUACAAGAGCAGAGAACAAAAGUUAAACUGGCAAAAAAAAUGGAAGAAAUGAAAACAUGCAAAAAGGGUCUUUCCCAAGAGAGUCUUCAGUUGGCAGCAUCUAUCCUUAAUGUUUAAACAACUGAUCUUUACGAAAUACUACAAGAAGGAGAUGAUGAGGU